AUGAUGUUUCUGUGCAGUGUUUGGCUCAUUCUUUACUUUCCAGGUGCUGUGAGUGGAGAAGGAAUAACUUCUCUCUCUUCUGUUGCAUUUGCUGUCAGUGGCGACUCUGUCACCCUGUCCUGUAACUUCACCAGCGCUUAUAACAGUGAUAAUCUCCUGUGGUAUCGUCAAUACUUCAGCUCCAGACCAGAGUUUCUGUUUCUCAUAAGUAAAAGCAACUUUAAACAGCCAGCUGAUCCUCCAAUACAUGGAAUAUCUGCUAAACUAAAUGAAGAGAAAACUCAUCUGGAGAUCUCCUCUGUUUCUCUAUCAGACUCUGCUCUGUAUUACUGCGCCCUGCAGCCCACAGUGACAGAAAACACAACAACACUGAACAAAAACAACAUUGCUGAGCUGUGA